rnacentral:rRNA from 1 species
AACGCGAAGAACCUUACCCAGACUUGACAUGCAAAGGACGGCUCUAGAAAUAGAGAUUCCCUUAGGGGCCUUUGCACAGGUGCUGCAUGGCUGUCGUCAGCUCGUGCCGUGAGGUGUUGGGUUAAGUCCCGCAACGAGCGCAACCCUUAUCAUUAGUUGCCAACAUUUCGGAUGGGAACUCUAAUGAGACUGCCUGGGUUAACCAGGAGGAAGGUGAGGAUGACGUCAAGUCCGCAUGGCCCUUAUGUCUGGGGCUACACACGUGCUACAAUGGUCGGUACAGAAGGCAGCAAAGCCGAAAGGUGAAGCAAAUCCCUAAAACCGAUCUCAGUUCAGAUUGUAGUCUGCAACUCGACUACAUGAAGUCGGAAUUGCUAGUAAUGGCAGGUCAGCAACACUGCCGUGAAUACGUUCCCGGGCCUUGUACACACCGCUCGUC